UCGUGAGGGCAGGUAAUAACUGGACCAGGCCGAUGAAGCCGGUAGAUAAGUGCCAGUCCUUUUUGCGGAUAUUCUCGACCAAAUGCUGAGCAGCGAGUUUACGUUUAUCUUCAGGCAGUAAAUCAAAAUUAAGAGCCAGCGCAUAGCAGGU
rnacentral:rRNA from 1 species